rnacentral:rRNA from 1 species
AUUGAACGCUGGCGGCAGGCCUAACACAUGCAAGUCGAGCGAGCGGCGGACGGGUGAGUAAUGUAUGGGGACUGCCCGAUAGCGGGGGAUAACUACUGGAAACGGUAGCUAAUACCGCAUACUAUCGGAUAACCCAUAUGGGAUUAGCUAGUAGGUGAGGUAAUGGCUCACCUAGGCGACGAUCCCUAGCUGGUCUGAGAGGAUGAUCAGCCACGCUGGGACUGAAACACGGCCCAGACUCCUGCGGAGGCAGCGGUGGGGAAUAUUGCAGAAUGGGCGCAAGCCUGAUGCAGCCAUGCCGCGUGUAUGAAUAAGGCUCUAGGGUUGGAAACUACUUGCAGUCGGGAGGCGUUACCGACAGAAGAAGCACCGGCUAACUACGUGCCAGCAGCCGCGGUAAUAC